AGAGCGCAAGGGGAAUGCCUUGGCAUCAGGAGCCGAAGAAGGACGUGACAAGCUGCGAAAAGCCUCGGGGAGGAGCAAAUAUCCAUUGAUCCGGGGAUAUCCGAAUGGGGCAACCCGGCUGGACAAUAUCCAGUCAUCCUGCGUUGAACAAAAUAGGCGUAGGAAGGGAACCGCCUGAACUGAAACAUCUAAGUAGGGCGAGGAAGAGACAUCAACCGAGAUUCCGCAAGUAGUGGCGAGCGAACGCGGAAGAGGCCAAACCGAGGGAUUUAUUCCUCGGGGUUGCGGACAGUCAUUUAGCGGAAGUUAUCUAGGAGAAGGGUCUGGGAAGGCCCGCCACAGAGGGUGAGAGCCCCGUAUCCGAAAGAGAAGGCCGUGCGACUGAAUCCAGAGUACCGCGGGACACGUGAAACCCCGUGGGAAACAGGGGGGACCACCCUCCAAGCCUAAAUACUACCUGAUGACCGAUAGAGGAGCAGUACCGUGAGGGAAAGGUGAAAAGGACCCCGGGAGGGGAGUGAAAGAGAACCUGAAACCUUGUGCUUACAAGCACUCAAAGCACGUUAAAGUGUGAUGAGGUACUUUUUGUAGAACGGUCCGGCGAGUUAUAGUAACGAGCAAGCUUAAGGUAUUCAGUACCGGAGGCGAAGCGAGAGCGAGUCUGAAUAGGGCGCAUAAAGUUCGUUGCCAUAGACCCGAAACCGGGUGACCUAACCAUGAGCAGGCUGAAGUGAGAGUAAAAUCUCAUGGAGGGCCGAACGCACGUUCGUUGCAAUGACCGGCGAUGACUUGUGGUUAGCGGAGAAAUUCCAAUCGAACUCGGAGAUAGCUGGUUCUCCCCGAAAUAGCUUUAGGGCUAGCGUUAUCUUAGAUUACCGGAGGUAAAGCACUGAAUGGGCUAGGGGGCGAUAAGCUUACUGAACCCUAUCAAACUCUGAAUGCCGGAUAAUUGAUGGAUAGCAGUCAGACAGUGUGAGAUAAGUUUCAUUGUCAAAAGGGAAACAGCCCAGACCCACAGCUAAGGUCCCAAAUGUAUGCUAAGUGGAAAACGAUGUGGAGUUGCGAAAACAACCAGGAUGUUGGCUUAGAAGCAGCCACUCAUUAAAAGAGUGCGUAAUAGCUCACUGGUCGAGUGACUCUGCGCGGAAAAUGUAACGGGGCUAAGUAUACAACCGAAGCUUGGGAUUGUCUAAAGACAGUGGUAGGGGAGCGUCGUGUAUGGGGUGAAGUCGCAUCGGAAGGAGCGGUGGACUGUACACGAGUGAGAAUGCCGGAAUGAGUAGCGAGAAUUAUGUGGGAAUCAUAAUGGCCGAAAAUCUAAGGUUUCUUGGGGAAGGUUCGUCCGCCCAAGGUAAGCCGGGAGCUAAGGCGAGGCCGCAAGGCGUAGUCGAUGCACAUACGGUAGAAAUUCCGUAGCCACCGAACCUUAAACCGGAAGGACACUUUCAGAUAGCAGAACCCAGCCGUUGGUAGAGCUGGGCGAAAGGGACUGAAAUAUAGUAGGGAAGUCUGCGAUGCUGAGAGGCGAGAAAAGCUCCGGUGUAUGCUAAGGUGCCCGUACCGCAAACCGACACAGGUAGAUGAGGAGAGAAUCCUAAGGCCAACGGGAGAAGGGUUGUUAAGGAACUCGGCAAAUUGACCCCGUAACUUCGGAAGAAGGGGAGCCCCGAAAGGGGCCGCAGUGAAUAGGCCCAAGCAACUGUUUACCAAAAACACAGGUUUAUGCUAAAUCGAAAGAUGACGUAUAUGAGCUGACGCCUGCCCGGUGCCGGAAGGUUAAGAGGAGAUGUCAGGAGCAAUCCGAAGCAUUGAAUUGAAGCCCCGGUAAACGGCGGCCGUAACUAUAACGGUCCUAAGGUAGCGAAAUUCCUUGUCAGGUAAGUUCUGACCCGCACGAAAGGCGUAACGAUUUGGGCGCUGUCUCAGCUGUAGACUCGGUGAAGUCUUAGUACCUGUGAAGAUGCAGGUUACCCGCGACUAGACGGAAAGACCCCAUGGAGCUUCACUGCAGGUUGAUAUUGGGAUUUGAUGCAGCAUGUACAGGAUAGGUAGGAGGCAAAGAGAUGGAUACGCCAGUAUUCAAGGAGCCGCUGUUGGGAUACUACCCCUGUUGUAUUGGAUUUCUAACCGGACGACGUAGAGCCGUUGACGGGACAGUGUCAGUCGGGCAGUUUGACUGGGGCGGUCGCCUCCCAAAAAGUAACGGAGGCGCCCAAAGAUACCCUCAGCUUGGAUGGAAACCAAGCGCAGAGUGCAAAGGCAAAAGGGUGUUUGACUGCGAGACCUACAAGUCGAGCAGGGACGAAAGUCGGGCUUAGUGAUCCGGCGGUGCUGAAUGGAAAGGCCGUCGCUCAACGGAUAAAAGCUACCCUGGGGAUAACAGGCUGAUCUCCCCCAAGAGUUCACAUCGACGGGGAGGUUUGGCACCUCGAUGUCGGCUCAUCGCAUCCUGGAGCUGAAGUCGGUUCCAAGGGUUGGGCUGUUCGCCCAUUAAAGCGGUACGCGAGCUGGGUUCAGAACGUCGUGAGACAGUUCGGUC
rnacentral:rRNA from 1 species